rnacentral:rRNA from 1 species
GGACAAUGGGGGCAACCCUGAUCCAGCCAUGCCGCGUGAGUGAUGAAGGCCUUAGGGUUGUAAAGCUCUUUCACCGAUGAAGAUAAUGACGGUAGUCGGGGAAGAAGCCCCGGCUAACCUCGUG